rfam:Triticum aestivum genome assembly, contig: Triticum_aestivum_CS42_TGACv1_scaffold_578438_7BL
UCACUACUCCCUCAGUCCUGAAUUAGUUAUCUUAGAUUUGUCUACAUACGGAUGUAUCUAGACACAUUUUAGUGUUAGGUACAUCCGUAUCUAGACAAAUCUAAGACAACUAAUUUGGGACAGAGGGAGUAUUUC